AUACGUAGGGUGCAAGCGUUAAUCGGAAUUACUGGGCGUAAGGCGUGCGCAGGCGGUUUUGUAAGACAGUGGUGAAAUCCCCGGGCUCAACCUGGGAACUGCCAUUGUGACUGCAAGGCUGGAGUGCGGCAGAGGGGGAUGGAAUUCCGCGUGUAGCAGUGAAAUGCGUAGAUAUGCGGAGGAACACCGAUGGCGAAGGCAAUCCCCUGGGCCUGCACUGACGCUCAUGCACGAAAGCGUGGGGAGCAAACAGGAUUAGAUACCCUGGUAGUCCACGCCCUAAACGAUGUCAACUGGUUGUUGGGGAUUUAUUUUCUCAGUAACGAAGCUAACGCGUGAAGUUGACCGCCUGGGGAGUACGGCCGCAAGGUUAAAACUCAAAUGAAUUGACGGGG
rnacentral:rRNA from 1 species